AGGUGCCAUAAUCUCUCAUCUGGAUUCCAGAGCUCUUGUAAAGUCAUUUUCCAGUGUUAUGGUUGUUCCAGUUGAUAUUUCUGCGAGGAUGAACUUCAGUUUAUCAUUUAUCGGAACAAAAAAUCUAUAAUUUAUUCUUGUGCCUAGAAAAUCAAGCUGUCUGUGACUCGGCGGUCUAUGCUGGAGAGUAAGAGCCAAAGUAUGAGUGAGUUCUCAGGAGGCAAGGGAUAUAAAUCUGUUUUAAGUCUUUCAUGGUGACCUAUAAAUCUCUUAUCUGCUGCAAGCCAACAUGAGAUCAGCCAAUGUAGAGAGAGAGACAGAGGAGAAAGAUGAAAAGAACCUAGAUCUCAGAUUUCAUUGAGUGCAAAGAAGAUAAGAAUUACAGGAAAAAUUCAGGGUGAAGACUUCCAAACAGGAUGCAGCAAGAAAAGGUUUAUUAGAAGAACUGCUCCAUGGUGAUGCUUUCAGUAAUUGUUUAUUAGCUCAGAUUUGCUUUCUGAAGAUUAAAUGAAUCCUACAUGGAAGAGUCUAUUGCUGCUUUGACUCCCUGGAAUCACUUAUAAUUUACUACAAAAGAUAUUGGUCUCUGUCUCUGCUUUUAUGGAGACUCCAAACAAGAUGGUUCCUACCAAAAUGGUCCAGAAGCCCACUGUUACAGUAAAAUCUUGAAUUUGGACAACUUGCAGUCUGAAAGCCAAAGGACUACACUACUGAACUCAGUCACAUGGCCAUACUUCUCUGAAGAAGGACAGAAGGACAGAGUCACUGAUGCCCCCAGAGGAGGAGGGAAAUUAUUAACUGUCUCUGUCAGGUGGUUUUAAAUGAAAAGCGUGCUUUCAAGAUGUGAUGGAUAAAAGAAAAGAGAUAAGACACAAUAUUACGGUGAAGCUUUGUUGAUGAAAUACAUAAAUGAGAUAUUUAAAUAAUAAUAUAACAAAAUUUAUAUUUGAAUGAAAAAUAGAAUAUUAA
rnacentral:lncRNA from 1 species